GGCUCAAACGACGGAUGGAUGUUUCUGAAAGGAGGCAGUCCUACGGGACAUCCGUCGAGGUGCUGCAUGGUUGUCGUCAGCUCGUGCCGUGAGGUGUCGGCUUAAGUGCCAUAACGAGCGCAACCCCCAUCGCCAGUUACCAGCAAGUAAAGUUGGGGACUCUGGCGAGACUGCCGGCGCAAGCUGUGAGGAAGGCGGGGAUGACGUCAAAUCAGCACGGCCCUUACGUCCGGGGCGACACACGUGUUACAAUGGCAGGUACAGAGAGAAGCGAUGCGGCGACGCAGAGCGGAACUUCAAAGCCUGUCUCAGUUCGGAUUGGAGUCUGCAACCCGACUCCAUGAAGCUGGAUUCGCUAGUAAUCGCGCAUCAGCCACGGCGCGGUGAAUACGUUCCCGGGCCUUGUACACACCGCCCGUCAAGCCAUGGAAGCCGGGAGUGCCUGAAGUGUGCAACCGCAAGGAGCGCCCUAAGGUAAAACCGGUGACUGGGGCUAAGUCGUAACAAGGUAGCCGUACCGGAAGGUGCGGCUGGAUCACCUCCUU
rnacentral:rRNA from 1 species